rnacentral:rRNA from 1 species
AUUGAACGCUGGCGGCAUGCUUUACACAUGCAAGUCGAACGGUAACAGGCCGCAAGGUGCUGACGAGUGGCGAACGGGUGAGUAAUGCAUCGGAACGUGCCCAGUCGUGGGGGAUAACGCAGCGAAAGCUGCGCUAAUACCGCAUACGAUCUCUGGAUGAAAGCGGGGGACCGAAAGGCCUCGCGCGAUUGGAGCGGCCGAUGUCAGAUUAGGUAGUUGGUGGGGUAAAGGCCCACCAAGCCAACGAUCUGUAGCUGGUCUGAGAGGACGACCAGCCACACUGGGACUGAGACACGGCCCAGACUCCUACGGGAGGCAGCAGUGGGGAAUUUUGGACAAUGGGCGCAAGCCUGAUCCAGCAAUGCCGCGUGCAGGAAGGAGGCCUUCGGGUUGUAAACUGCUUUUGUACGGAACGAAACGGUCCGGGUUAAUACCCUGGGCUAAUGACGGUACCGUAAGAAUAAGCACCGGCUAACUACGUGCCAGCAGCCGCAGUAA